rnacentral:rRNA from 1 species
GACGAACGCUGGCGGCGUGCCUAAUACAUGCAAGUAGAACGCACAGGAUGCACCGUAGUUUACUACACCGUAUUCUGUGAGUUGCGAACGGGUGAGUAACGCGUAGGUAACCUGCCUGGUAGCGGGGGAUAACUAUUGGAAACGAUAGCUAAUACCGCAUAAGAACAUUUACUGCAUGGUAGAUGUUUAAAAGGUGCAAAUGCAUCACUACCAGAUGGACCUGCGUUGUAUUAGCUAGUAGGUGAGGUAACGGCUCACCUAGGCGACGAUACAUAGCCGACCUGAGAGGGUGAUCGGCCACACUGGGACUGAGACACGGCCCAGACUCCUACGGGAGGCAGCAGUAGGGAAUCUUCGGCAAUGGGGGGAACCCUGACCGAGCAACGCCGCGUGAGUGAAGAAGGUUUUCGGAUCGUAAAGCUCUGUUGUAAGAGAAGAACGAGUGUGAGAAUGGAAAAGUUCAUACUGUGACGGUACUAAACC